rnacentral:rRNA from 1 species
UUCAAGCUAUUGCAUAAGGAGGGGUCUUGCGUACCAUUAGCUUGUAGGUGGGGUAAUGGCCCACCUAGGCGACGAUGGUUAACGGGUCUGAGGAGGAUGAUCCGUCACACUGGCACUGGAAUACGGGCCAGACUCCUACGGGAGGCAGCAGUGAGGAAUAUUGCGCAAUGGGGGAAACCCUGACGCAGCGACGCCGCGUGAGUGAGGAAGGCCUUCGGGUCGUAAAGCUCUGUCAAGAGGGAAGAAGUGCAUGGUGGCUAAUAUCCAUCAUGUUUGACGGUACCUCUAAAGGAAGCACCGGCUAACUCCGUGCCAGCAGCCGCGGUAAUACGGAGGGUGCAAGCGUUGUUCGGAAUUACUGGGCGUAAAGGGCGCGCAGGCGGUUGUACAAGUCAGACGUGAAAGCCCACGGCUUAACUGUGGAAGUGCGUUUGAAACUGUACGACUUGAGUACCAGAGGGGAAAGUGGAAUUCCCGGUGUAGAGGUGAAAUUCGUAGAUAUCGGGAGGAAUAUCCGGUG